CUAUCCAUUCCAUCGCACCGCCCCUAGUGAGCUCGGCCUCCCGAGCUCGAUCCCAAAUCCACUUUCCCUCUCCAUUCCCCAUCGCGUCGCCCCUAGUGAGUUCGGCCUCCCGAGCUCGAUCCCUAAUCCACUCUCCCUCUCCAUUCGCCAUCGCGCCGCCCCUAGUGCGCUCGGCCUCCCGCCGUGUGUCCACUCAUCCCGUGCAAGCCGCCACCUCCCCCACCGGCACCGCCGCCCUCCACCUUCCCCAUUGGAAGCGAUGCGCUAUGCGCACCUUCCACAUCGCCAGCAGUGCCUCGUCCGCUCGUCCCGCCCCGCAUCUGGUCGUCGAUGGACCACCCCUCCGUGGCACAUCGUCGUCUCCUACACCCAGCGCCGCCAUGAUGGGAGGAUCAGCAUGGGCGCCCGGCUGUGCCUAGUCCCGAAACGAGCAGCAGGCUGCGUGCGGCCAUGCCUGAACAAUGGUAGGGGUGCGACGCGUGGAUGAUCCCGGCCACAUGAGGAUUGAUGGGGGAGGGGCGCCACGGAAGCCGCUGUGGCGGGAUGAAGGCGAAGGGACCGGCCAUGAUGAGGAGGUUGCGCAUUCGACGCACCUCGGCUGCCGCCCCGCCUUUCCCGGACGCGCAAAUAGCGGCUGUCGAUACGCGGGUGCCCUUCAGCAGUAGUUCGGAAUGCCACUCUGUGGGUGCGCGCGCGAAGGCGAAGCCGACCAGGGUGGCGGCACAGAUUUGGAUGCGUAGCUCGCAACAGCCGCACUGGUCCUUGUUCGACUCGGACAUAGCGGUGGAGGCGGUGAGGUACGCGGCGAGAUGGCUUUGGUGAUGGCUAGGUUGACGAUGACAGGAUGCAAAGGGAGUAUCCGACGGCGAAGACGAUAAGGAAGGAGUGGCUUUGACCAACAAACAAGUGGCUUUCAACAACGGUAUGAGAGCUUCAAACAGCAAGAGCCUACAACCACAAGGAAAUCUGACACCUAUGCAUCAGAAAGUGCUUUAGAGGACAGACUUGUACGUAUAUCUUUCUUAUUUUCACCAUCCGCAAUCAUUUAAUGCCCAAAUGCAAAGUUAAACUGCGACACUGAAAAUUUGAUUUUCCAGGCUUUCCCAUGUUAUUAGUUUGAUGAUAUCAGGCCCUUGCAUUUUGUUGCUUUAACUUCCCUUGUCGACCACAAUACCUAGUCAAAUUUGACCUUUUCUCAGUUCACCUGUACCUUCAUAUGUUCCAUUUGAUCUGCAAAAUAUAAUAGUCGUAAGCUUGCUAUUUACUUGGACACAUAAUUGCAUGUUGUGGCCAUACUAAUGACUUUCAAAUCCUGGAACAAAGGGUGUUCCAGGUGAGUUUCUAUUUAUACCUAUGUAAUAUGUGCUAAACCUCUGUUCUCUCUGGAUUACAAACUAAGAAGCUUGACAGUUUUUAUCUGCAGCUGUGCCCCAUUUGCAUGUAUAAAUCGAAGGACCUCGCAUUUGGAUGUGGACAUCAGACUUGCGAUAUGGAAUGCUGCCCUCUAUGCCAGCAGCACAUAACACAAAGAUCAGGCUCUACUGAUGCCAUGAAGCUUUUGGAAGAAACUCUUACGCAAAAUGUUCAGACCAGCUUUAAUUGUACAGAGCUUCGUCUUGUAAUUGGUGUCCUGGUCUUAAGUAGAUAGUGCUGCUGUCACUGUCCCAGUAAGGCACAACUGUAGUUUAACUAUAGAAUUUAGUGUUAAAAAAGCACACCAAAAAAUAAUGUACAUAUUCCUGGAUGAGACAAUGA